CUGACCACCCGAUCCCUUUAGUCGCCUCUUACGACAAGAUAGUCGCCUUUUAUGGCAAGCACAUGGGUUGCUGAAGACCUAUUCUACCCCGGAUCUUCACGGGUCUUUAAAUAAAAGUAACGAUAGUAAAUUGAAUACCAUUUAUUCUGCAAUGCGAAAGGGUACACUACAUAUAACCAGCAAGAUCAAAUGCUUUUGCGGUUUAGUUUGUGACUGAUAAGCACUCAUGUACAUGUACGUGGCUGGUGUAAUGACUCAUUGUGCCCAUAGAUUAUGUUGUUCUAUUGUUUCAAUGUUUAAAGAAAAGCAUAAGAAUGUAGCAUUUAGUAUUAUGUAACACACAUAUAUAUACGCUAUAUGAUGUAGUUAAAUCCUUGUAGGUACCAUAUUCUAUAGAAAACAUUACAGUUUCUGUGCACAAGUCCGAUUAAAUCAGUCUAAGGAUAUGUUUAUGCAUAGUGGUACUAUUAUCGACAACAAAAUGUUUGGAACUUUGCAUUGUUCAACAGAGCUACACGUUUAUGCUUAAAAGUGUUAACGAUGGAUCAUGAAUUAUAAAUGCUAAUGCAAACGAUUAGAACACAGACAAGAGCUGACUCCAAACAUCACAUGCAAGAGCUUUAAGUCUGUUACAACUUUCUAUAAUCCGCACGUGCCGCGCAGGAGUGUUUAUGAUACCUUAUUUUGAUAUUUUCUUAAAGGCUGAGGACCAUUCUGUUUGCCAGUCUGGUCGAUUGAGCUCAUAUAUUUGUGGUUUACACAAAUCAUAGUUUCAAAUGGCUAUUGUUAGUUUGUAUCAAAAGGGGUUAUGCACAUUAACUGAAACCCCGAGAACAAGUCGGGUUGGUUUUAAGUUAACACUCAUUACGUACCGCACGUGCAUUUGUUUCACUGUUCCAACUACUGCGCUUACCCCCUUGUGAUAGAAACCAACAAUAGCCAUUUGAAACUAUGAUUGUUUGUUUAACAACUGUUAUCCUGUUGAAUAAAAUUCUGAGAUUUACAUGUUCAACUGACUAGGUAAAAUUAUGAGGAUUCGCAAUCUUCAUUUCAUUUUACUUGAUUUACUUUUUGGGUACGUUUUCAUUACAAACAGACUAUAGUCCGGAAAACGUCUUGGCAAGAUAUAUAUGUCAGUGUCGUAACGUAUUUCGUUGCAUCUCACUGGCGGGGUCUAGCCAUUUUAUACCAAUUUGUGAAAGGUUGCAUCAGGAUAUUAAUGAUUGGAGCUGUUGAAAACAAUGAUACUUGGUGUAGUCAAAGUUCCCCGCUAGAUCCUUAGCAGGUUUUCUGAAAGAUUGAACGGAUACCUUCUGAAUUGACGAUUGACUGUAUUGUUGCCAUUAAGUUGUCGUCCUUGCCUGUCUGAAGAAAUUGCACAGUUUGUGUUAUUUGUAUACCUGUUGUGAAUACCAGGGUUCACCUGUACUCCAGGGUUCACCUGUACUCCAGUAUAUAUAAACAUAUAUAUAAUGAUAGCGAAAAUUAUGAAAACGUUUGCAAGUGUAUAAUAUCCUCAAGAAAUUUCAAUUUCAGUGCAUGAUACAUAUGUAUCAAAGACAUUAUCACACUGUCAGAUUUCAACAAAUAUAUUCAACUGACUGAAUGCUGACAAUAGAUAAUAUCUGCUUUAAAUGUAUGCCACAGCCUGUUGUUGCUUCAGACAAGUAAACAAUUCAAUAAUA